rnacentral:rRNA from 1 species
UACAGAGGUCCCAAGCGUUGUUCGGAUUCACUGGGCGUAAAGGGUGCGUAGGUGGUGAGGUAAGUCGGAUGUGAAAUCUCCGGGCUCAACCCGGAAAUGGCAUUGGAAACUACCUUGCUUGAGGGUUUGAGGGGGGAUUGGAAUACUUGGUGUAGCGGUGAAAUGCGUAGAUAUCAAGAGGAACACCUGAGGUGAAGACGGGUUGCUGGGCUGACACUGACGCUGAGGCGCGAAAGCCAGGGGAGCAAACGGG